UCCUUUAAAUUUACUGAGGUUAGACUUGUGACCUAAGAUGUGAUCGAUUUUGGAGUAUGUCCCGUGGGCUGAUGAGAAGAUUUUUCUAAAAAACAUUCCGGAAAGCAUUUUUGCAAAAAGUCUCUACCACGAGUGGCUGUCCGUAAUGGAGAAAAGCAGCGACAGACAGAAAAUUGAAAAAAUUAAAAGGCUAUUAGACCAGCUACCAAGAGCAAACGUUGUUCUCAUACGGUACGUGUUCCUGGUGUUAA